GACAUCUCUUGGAACACUAUUAUAGAUGUAUACCAUACUUUAUGAAUUGCUAAGGAUGUAGGGCAGCUUUGGACAGUACUACCUUUGUUAGAUUUAUGGUGGUAAGGCUUGAAAUUACUAAUUAGGAAUUUUGAAAUUCGCUAGAGGCUGGUUAUUAUAGUUUUCAUGAGUAAAAUAAAGAAGAAAGGCAAAGAAAGAACUAAGAAUAUUUAGCUAGGUAGCUCUCUCAUGGACAACAAAGAGUUAAUUAAGUUUUUGUAUUUAUAAAUCAAAGUUUUUAUCACAGUUAUAUGUAUGACUUAUGGUGCUGAAAAAGAAAACGGAGAAAUUAAUAAUAUUUUCCAACACUAGCAUUCUUCAGCAACAGGCAAAGGUUGACAUUGAUUCUUGCUUGUAGCAACUGGUAUUGUUUUAUUCUUCUUGCCAACUUUCUUGAGUGAUAUGUUAUAUAUUGUAUAGGAAUGGAUGCUCAAGUAUCAUAU
rnacentral:misc_RNA from 1 species